GACGAACGCUGGCGGCGUGCUUAACACAUGCAAGUCGAACGGAAAGGCCCUGCUUUUGUGGGGUGCUCGAGUGGCGAACGGGUGAGUAACACGUGAGUAACCUGCCCUUGACUUUGGGAUAACUUCAGGAAACUGGGGCUAAUACCGGGUAGGAGCUCCUGCUGCAUGGUGGGGGUUGGAAAGUUUCGGCGGUUGGGGAUGGACUCGCGGCUUAUCAGCUUGUUGGUGGGGUAGUGGCUUACCAAGGCUUUGACGGGUAGCCGGCCUGAGAGGGUGACCGGCCACAUUGGGACUGAGAUACGGCCCAGACUCCUAUGGGAGGCAGCAGUGGGGAAUAUUGCACAAUGGGCGGAAGCCUGAUGCAGCAACGCCGCGUGCGGGAUGACGGCCUUCGGGUUGUAAACCGCUUUCGCCUGUGACGAAGCGUGAGUGACGGUAAUGGGUAAAGAAGCACCGGCUAACUACGUG
rnacentral:rRNA from 1 species